GAGAAGAUGAGAUCAAACAGGAAGACACAGACCAGAUCACAUAAGGCCUCAGUAAGUUUGCGUAAGAUAUUUGCAUUCCCCCCCCCCACCCCCCAAGAGCAAAGGGAAGCCAUGCUCUGCUCACCCAGAAACAGAGCAAUGCUUAGAGGCCAUGGUGACUGAGCAUCUAGGUUCCCACUCUGGCCCUGAGGAAGUGAGUCACUGCUGAGUUUCCUGUGUGUCCACAGCCUGAGGAUGAUAUCUGGGUAGGACACCUGACUUUCAAGGGCUAGUAAGAAGUUCAAAGAAGAAGGGGGCCAAAUGCAUCCAAGAAGGCACCUACAUAACAGGCGAUAGAAUGAAGGAAGCCAAAGAGACCUGGAUCUGCAACACUUCUACACCCGACACAAGUCCCGUCGCCUUUCAGAGCUUCGCUUGCCUCUCUGUGAAGUCCCAAAGAACAAGGGCUUUGAUGGACUGAGAGUGACAAUGUAAAAUGCCUGGCCCAUAGCAGACAGAGUCAACCAAGGUGACUUUUCCCUUCUCUCUGGUGAAGACACAGGGUACUUUUUUUCACAUGGAAAUGGAACUUCAUAAAACUAGAAAACAAGACUAUGGCCCCAGGGAAGGUUUUAGUGACUCUGCCCAGAGGGAGCCUCCAGGUGUGUGCUGAAAGGGCAGAAGAAGCUUGCCAAGGAGGCUGAGGGCUCCUGGAGACUCAGCGCCAGGCUUUGUGUGUUGGCUGGAACGCUUCCCGUGGCGAUCAGUGACUGCAGAUGACAGCCCCCACAGGCCAGGGAAUGCACAGGGGUGUCCAGGUACCGUGGGGGCGUCCCACUCAAGUCCACUUGACGUGGCCAGCACUCCUCAUGGCUUUUCUCAGCCCCCUUCCCUUGGGCUGCUUCCAAGCCUUCAGUUGGGCUGGUCUAGGAGCUGAGAAGAUCUGUUUGCGAAAUCUCCAACACCUGGAGGCCCAGGCCAGGCAUUUGUCUGACAUGGGGAUGGGAAUCUGUGGAGGUGGCAUGGGUUUAUCAUUCCAUGAUCAAUUUGAUUGGCACGUCUCCUUGCCCUGACCUUAUUCCCUCCUGCUUCCGUUGUACUAACACCACCACCUCAUGGACAGACCGACUCACUACAGGUGGCAUUAGUUUCGGUUUUUUUUUUUUUGUUUUUUUUUUCUCAGCACUCUUUGAGAAAAAAACUCUCCUGACAUCGGCGUCCCUUUCUAGUCCUGUGGAGAUGCCAGAAAGGAAGAAUAGCCCAAGAAAAAUAUCCUUAAGGAGUGAGAGCAGGUUAGACCCAUAGACCCAGAGAUUAUGUCUGCAUAUAAAUAUACAUAUAUAUAUAGGCUUAUUUUUAUGUAUGAAAUAUGUAUGAGAUAUGAGAUAUAUGUAUAUACAUACAUAUGAGAUUAGGGUUGUGUGUGUGUAUGAGCUCCAGCUAAUCUGUAUUCAACACAUCUAUUUUUAUGUAAAAUAAGUAAAAUACCUAUGUAAGGAUUUAAAUAAAUAAAUAUUGAUCAGAA